rnacentral:rRNA from 1 species
CUGGCUCAGGAUGAACGCUAGCGACAGGCCUAACACAUGCAAGUCGAGGGGCAUCGGGGCGAGGAGCAAUCCUUGCCGCCGGCGACCGGCGCACGGGUGAGUAACGCGUAUGCGACCUGCCCGUUGCAGGGGGAUAAUCGGGAGAAAUCCCGUCUAAUACCGCGUAAUGCCGCGGGGCUGCAUGGCCCUGCGGCCAAAGGAAGCGAUUCCGGCAACGGAUGGGCAUGCGUGACAUUAGCUAGUUGGCGGGGCAACGGCCCACCAAGGCGACGAUGUCUAGGGGUUCUGAGAGGAAGGUCCCCCACACUGGUACUGAAACACGGACCAGACUCCUACGGGAGGCAGCAGUGAGGAAUAUUGGUCAAUGGGCGCGAGCCUGAACCAGCCAAGUCGCGUGAGGGAUGACGGCCCUACGGGUUGUAAACCUCUUUUGUCGGGGAGCAAAUUCCGCCACGUGUGGCGGAGUCGAGAGUACCCGAAGAAAAAGCAUCGGCUAACUCCGUGCCAGCAGCCGCGGUAAUACGGAGGAUGCGAGCGUUAUCCGGAUUUAUUGGGUUUAAAGGGUGCGUAGGCGGACUGUCAAGUCAGCGGUAAAAUACGGGGGCUCAACCUCCGCCCGCCGUUGAAACUGACGGUCUUGAGUGGGCGAGAAGUAUGCGGAAUGCGUGGUGUAGCGGUGAAAUGCAUAGAUAUCACGCAGAACUCCGAUUGCGAAGGCAGCAUACCGGCGCCCAACUGACGCUGAAGCACGAAAGCGUGGGUAUCGAACAGGAUUAGAUACCCUGGUAGUCCACGCAGUAAACGAUGAAUACUAGCUGUCCGGGGCGAAUGAGCCCUGGGUGGCACAGCGAAAGCGUUAAGUAUUCCACCUGGGGAGUACGCCGGCAACGGUGAAACUCAAAGGAAUUGACGGGGGCCCGCACAAGCGGAGGAACAUGUGGUUUAAUUCGAUGAUACGCGAGGAACCUUACCCGGGCUCAAACGACACAGGAACGUACCUGAAAGGGUUCGGCUCUACGGAGCCUGUGUCGAGGUGCUGCAUGGUUGUCGUCAGCUCGUGCCGUGAGGUGUCGGCUUAAGUGCCAUAACGAGCGCAACCCCCAUCGACGGUUGCUAACAGGUCAGGCUGAGGACUCUGUCGAGACUGCCGGCGCAAGCUGCGAGGAAGGCGGGGAUGACGUUAAAUCAGCACGGCCCUUACGUCCGGGGCGACACACGUGUUACAAUGGCAGGUACAGCGGGAAGCCACCUGGCGACAGGGAGCGGAACCCGAAAGCCUGUCUCAGUUCGGAUUGGAGUCUGCAACCCGACUCCAUGAAGCUGGAUUCGCUAGUAAUCGCGCAUCAGCCACGGCGCGGUGAAUACGUUCCCGGGCCUUGUACACACCGCCCGUCAAGCCAUGGAAGCCGGGGGUGCCUGAAGU